rnacentral:rRNA from 1 species
CCUACGGGAGGCUGCAGUGAGGAAUAUUGGUCAAUGGCCGCAGGGCUGAACCAGCCAAGUCGCGUGAGGGAUGACGGUCCUAUGGAUUGUAAACCUCUUUUGUCAGGGAGCAAAGGGCGCCACGUGUGGCGCUUUGCGAGUACCUGAUGAAAAAGCAUCGGCUAACUCCGUGCCAGCAGCCGCGGUAAUACGGAGGAUGCGAGCGUUAUCCGGAUUUAUUGGGUUUAAAGGGUGCGCAGGCGGAAUGUAAAGUCAGCGGUAAAAUUUCGGGGCUCAACCCCGUCGUGCCGUUGAAACUGGCGUUCUUGAGUGAGCGAGAAGUAGGCGGAAUGCGUGGUGUAGCGGUGAAAUGCAUAGAUAUCACGCAGAACUCCGAUUGCGAAGGCAGCAUACCGGCGCUCAACUGACGCUCAUGCACGAAAGCGUGGGUAUCGAACAGGAUUAGAUACCCUGGUAGUC